rnacentral:tRNA from 1 species
UCCCUUGUGGCUCAGCUGGUAAAGAAUCUGUCUACAAUGCAGGAGACCUGGGUUCGAUCCCUGGGUAGGGAA